UCACUCGCUUGCUUGCGCUGGGCUUCAGGGCGCCCGGAUCUACAGUCCCUCUUGGACAGAUUUUCCUGUGUGUAUAUGAUAUGAGGACACUCAGUGAUACAGAAUUGAAAAAGAGAAAGACCAGAUUUCCCAUGGAGAUGGAGAAAUUGGAAGCCCAGAUGAGGAACCAUCUCAUAUAAGCAAGCUUAUGUGUUUUGAUUUCGUGUUCAGAUAUUCUUAUCAAUGAUUUCCAGAAAGUGACAUUGAUUUGCUUUGGAAACAAUGAUGGAAAAACAGUGAGUGUGUACCGGAAUGCUUUUAGAGUUCUAAAAUCAUACUGGAAAAUGUCCGAGCAUUCCAACACAGCUAUAAACAGUACCAUGCUGUAUUUAUGGGGGGUGGCAAGUCUGUUUUUAAAAGUCUUUGCGAUAUUUUUUCUAUGUUUUUAAUUUAUUGAAUUAAAGCCAGAUUUAUUCAAUUAAGAUAAUACACUUCAAAGUUAACUGCCAUUUGCUGUUCAUUUAGGCAAGCUAUUGUACAGUUAUGUAAAUUUCAUGAACAGAGACACUACUUGAGUGUCUUAAUUACAAGCAGAAAGUGUCAUUUAAAUAUGAAUUAAGUGAAUAGUUGCCUGUAUUUCCUGUUUCUGUAUUUUCUGUCUUCUGCCCAAUGAUCCAUACUGUGUUAGAAGAUUUUUCUUUUUCCUGUGAAAGAAAAACACCUCCACUAUGAAAUAUUAAAAAAAAAAAAGUCGGGAAACAUGUAAAAACGCCAUUGUUAUUGCACUGAUUAGUACUCAGAGCCAUUUCUGAAUAACAGGGUACCAGGUUUUUUCAGUUGGCCACUGAUAGUCAUUCUCAUAUUGUUACUGAGAUCUAAAAAUUAUUCCAGCUUAUGCUGGGGGAAAUAAUUUGCUACAUGUGUCAUUUGCUCCAAUUCAUUAUAUAUGUGGGUUCAUUUUUUUUUUAAAUCCUCUUUUAAAAGUACUAAUUUAUAACACGUCCAAACAUUGUCUUCCUUACUCCAAUGCUGGGCUGUGCAUAUUUUUAUCAUUCUUUUAUCUUUGUCAAAAGCAACAUUUAUUUUCAAUUUAGAACUGUCACAACCAUAUUUGUGUUUAGCAAAUGUGACCCAUGACCUGAUACUUUGCUGAUUUCUGUGAAACAAUUCCCCAUGCAUCUUGGA
rnacentral:lncRNA from 1 species